rnacentral:rRNA from 1 species
CGGGGUGCAGCAGGCGCGAAAACUUUACAAUGCGGGAAACCGUGAUAAGGGGACACCGAGUGCCAGCAUCAUAUGCUGGCUGUCCGGGUGUGUAAAAUACACCCGUUAGCAAGGGCCGGGCAAGACCGGUGCCAGCCGCCGCGGUAACACCGGCGGCCCGAGUGGUGAUCGUGAUUAUUGGGUCUAAAGGGUCCGUAGCCGGUUUGGUCAGUCCUCCGGGAAAUCUGACGGCUCAACCGUUAGGCUUUCGGGGGAUACUGCCAGGCUUGGAACCGGGAGAGGUAAGAGGUACUACAGGGGUAGGAGUGAAAUCUUGUAAUCCCUGUGAGACCACCUGUGGCGAAGGCGUCUUACCAGAACGGGUUCGACGGUGAGGGACGAAAGCUGGGGGCACGAACCGGAUUAGAUACCCGGGUAGUCCCAGCCGUAAACGAUGCUCGCUAGGUGUCAGGCAUGGCGCGACCGUGUCUGGUGCCGCAGGGAAGCCGUGAAGCGAGCCACCUGGGAAGUACGGCCGCAAGGCUGAAACUUAAAGGAAUGG